AAUAAUAAUAAUAAUUAUGAAGGAAAAGAAAGAGAACAUCACUCCACACACAAAGAAGAAUGAAGUUUCAGUCUCUCAGAAAGAGAUUUUGAUUUGAUAAAAUGGAAAUUCAGAGGGAAACAAAAGAAAGGUUCGGGUCAGGUCAAGUCAGGUUAGGUAGGCGUAGCUGCGAAGGACUGAGGGGAAGUGCAGAGAAGAUUCUAGCAGGAACAAAGAAGAAGAUUGGGGGAAAUGAAUCCGAAGGAAAAGAAAGAGAGGGAAGAAACCUAGUUAGUUCCCAGAGGAGAAAACAUCCACACAGAAGGAAGAAGGAAGUUUUUUCAGCCUCUUAGAAAGAGAUUUGAUUUGAUGGUGGUGAACAAUAAUACGAGGGAACAGUGAAUUAAUAUGGCUUACAGA